CCCUUAGAUGUUCUGGGCCGCACGCGUGCUACACUGACCGGCGCAACAAGUUUCUUUCCUUGGCUCGAUAGGCCUGGGCAAUCUUUGAACGCUGGUCGUGAUGGGGAUAGACUUUUGCAAUUUUUGGUCUUCAACGAGGAAUUCCUAGUAAACGCAAGUCAUCAACUUGCAUUGAUUACGUCCCUGCCCUUUGUACACACCGCCCGUCGCACCUACCGAUUGAAUGGUCCGGUGAAGCCUCCGGAUUGGCGCGCACCUCGGUGCCGCCGAGAAGUUGGCUAAACCUUACCAUUUAGAGGAAGGUGAAGUCGUAACA
rnacentral:rRNA from 1 species